CGGGGUGUGGCGCAGCUUGGUAGCGCGCUUCGUUCGGGUCGAAGAGGUCAUCGGUUCGAAUCCGGUCACCCCGA
rnacentral:tRNA from 3 species